GAUGAACGCUGGCGGCGUGCCUAAUACAUGCAAGUCGAGCGAACGGACGAGAAGCUUGCCUCUCUGAUGUUAGCGGCGGACGGGUGAGUAACACGUGGAUAACCUACCUAUAAGACUGGGAUAACUUCGGGAAACCGGAGCUAAUACCGGAUAAUAUUUUGAACCGCAUGGUUCAAAAGUGAAGGACGGUCUUGCUGUCACUUAUAGAUGGAUCCGCGCUGCAUUAGCUAGUUGGUAAGGUAACGGCUUACCAAGGCAACGAUGCAUAGCCGACCUGAGAGGGUGAUCGGCCACACUGGAACUGAGACACGGUCCAGACUCCUACGGGAGGCAGCAGUAGGGAAUCUUCCGCAAUGGGCGAAAGCCUGACGGAGCAACGCCGCGUGAGUGAUGAAGGUCUUCGGAUCGUAAAACUCUGUUAUUAGGGAAGAACAUAUGUGUAAGUAACUGUGCACAUCUUGACGGUACCUAAUCAGAAAGCCACGGCUAACUACGUG
rnacentral:rRNA from 1 species